rnacentral:sRNA from 1 species
UGUAUCUGAAGUCUGACGAGGAUGAGAACCUCCGGGGGCAAGAGGUUCGACUCGAGCGAAGCGAGAGAACGUUGCGCCAGCAACGGCCCGCAGGGCGAGCCACGCAGUGGCGAGUCACGCAGUGGCGAGUCAUCC